rnacentral:misc_RNA from 1 species
GUCCUUCUAUCCUUUUAGAUUGUUAGCACAUUAAUGGAGUGUGAUGACGAUUUUAAGAUUCAAUAUACUUGUUAGAUAUGGAAUCUCCUUUCUUUUUCACUUAAAAGAACUCAAUAUGAAGAGCUUUGUUAAUUAACUUUGUCUAAUAUUUUUCACCUAACUAAGAUCUUGAUUAUUGACUUUUUGAGAUUAAAUGUGUUAUUUAAGUGAAAAAGAAA